UGGAACCAGACGCUAGAAGCUGGAAAAGGCAGACAGGAACACAGCCCUGCCUACCCCUUGAUUUUAGUCCAGGAAGACCCAUCUCGGACUUCUGAUCUUCAGAUUGCAAGGUCGUGACUUCCUUCUUGGAUGUGGAGGCCAAGGCAUAAGCUGGAGGAUGGAGGGUUGGCGUAACUCUACAAGAAGUGUUUCCUCAGACUUCUGGGUGGAUUCUUGAGUCAAUAGAAACCUGAUACUGCUGAGAAGUAACCAGCUCCUUGGAGCACAGGCUCUUGGGCCCGGAGACAGUGUCAUGCACACCCAUCCAUCCAUUCCUAUUUGGAGCUGAAACCUCCCGAACAGUGAGAGAAGACCCCUGGCACAUAAUUGUAUAUUCUUCGUUGUGGGUUCUUCUAGUUGUGGCAUGUGGGACGCUGCCUCAGCGUGGUUUGAUGAGCAGUGCCAUGUCUGAGCCCAGGAUUCGAACCAAUGAAGCACUGGACCGCCUGCAGCGGAGCACGUGAACUUAACCACUCGGCCACGGGGCCAGCCCCAUUAUUCUCAUUUCAUAUCUGAGGAAAAUAAAAUAUUUUUAAUGCACUGGUUGACUGUUUAGGGGCUAUACGUCCCUCUCUUUCUAGUAUGCAUUCUUUUUGCAACAUGACCUAGGCGUUCCUCCCAUGCAGUGGCUCAGUCUAUCUCUUCACUCCCUAG
rnacentral:lncRNA from 1 species